CUUGGAAAAAGCUUGACCCCUCAGUAGAGUCCUCAUACUCCAGUAUACAGAAAUUGGUCAUAAGUCACUUAUAGAGAGUUCAGAGCUUCAUUUUUGAAAAGGAAAGUAUUUCAAUGCUGAAAGAGUUGGUCAGGCUUGAUGAACAGAGUGAUCUUAUACCUAUACAUACUGUCUUCCUGGAGAGUCAGUGGAGAAUAUGAAAGUGCAAUAUUUGCUGUGAAUAGUUUUCGGAAAGUCUCUUGUGUAUUAAGCUCAAAUCUCUGUCAUGUUAGAGUAUUUGAAAUGGAUGUAGAUGAUGGGGAAAUUGAAGAGGAAGAGAAGGAUGAAGAAGAGGAGGAAUCUUCAUCCCAUCACGUGUCUGGUGAGCAGAAAGAAUUAAUUCAGUCUGUCGAUAACCAAGAAAGUGUUGGCAAUGAAUCUGCCAAUCUGGUGGAUGUAGGGGAAGAUCAGGAAUCUAACUUAGAUUCAUAACCUGAGCUACAAUUAUUUUGUUUGUUCUCAUUAUGUUAGUAUGUUAUGUUGGUGAGCUAAGAUUUUUCUUUUAGGAACACCUUAAUAUUUUCUUUGUACCAAAGAAAUAAACAGUUAAUUAU